GAUGAACGCUGGCGGCGUGCCUAAUACAUGCAAGUCGAGCGAACAGACGAGGAGCUUGCUCCUCUGAUGUUAGCGGCGGACGGGUGAGUAACACGUGGAUAACCUACCUAUAAGACUGGGAUAACUUCGGGAAACCGGAGCUAAUACCGGAUAACAUGUUGAACCGCAUGGUUCAACAGUGAAAGACGGUCUUGCUGUCACUUAUAGAUGGAUCCGCGCCGCAUUAGCUAGUUGGUAAGGUAACGGCUUACCAAGGCAACGAUGCGUAGCCGACCUGAGAGGCUGAUCGGCCACACUGGAACUGAGACACGGUCCAGACUCCUACGGGAGGCAGCAGUAGGGAAUCUUCCGCAAUGGGCGAAAGCCUGACGGAGCAACGCCGCGUGAGUGAAGAAGGUCUUCGGAUCGUAAAACUCUGUUAUUAGGGAAGAACAAAUGUGUAAGUAACUAUGCACGUCUUGACGGUACCUAAUCAGAAAGCCACGGCUAACUACGUG
rnacentral:rRNA from 1 species